rnacentral:rRNA from 1 species
UCAGGAUGAACGCUAGCUACAGGCUAACACAUGCAAGUCGAGGGUAGCAGGGUCUAGCAAUAGAUCGCUGACGACCGGCGCACGGGUGAGUAACACGUAUCCAACCUUCCGUUACUCGGGGAUAGCCUUUCGAAAGAAAGAUUAAUACCCGAUAGUAUGCUUUUCCCGCAUGGGAGAAUCAUAAAGUUUUUCGGUAAUCGAUGGGGAUGCGUUCCAUUAGGCAGUUGGUGAGGUAACGGCUCACCAAACCUUCGAUGGAUAGGGGUUCUGAGAGGAAGGUCCCCCCACAUUGGAACUGAGACACGGUCCAAACUCCUACGGGAGGCAGCAGUGAGGAAUAUUGGUCAAUGGACGAGAGUCUGAACCAGCCAAAAGUAGCGUGAAGGAUGACUGCCCUAUGGGUUGUAAACUUCUUUUAUAUGGGAAUAAAGGAGCCUACGUGUAGGUUUUUGUAUGUACCAUACGAAUAAGGAUCGGCUAACUCCGUGCCAGCCGCCGC